GACGAACGCUGGCGGCGUGCUUAACACAUGCAAGUCGAACGGAAAGGCCCUGCUUUUGCGGGGUGCUCGAGUGGCGAACGGGUGAGUAACACGUGAGUAACCUGCCCUUGACUUUGGGAUAACUUCAGGAAACUGGGGCUAAUACCGGAUAGGAGCUCCUGCUGCAUGGUGGGGGUUGGAAAGUUUCGGCGGUUGGGGAUGGACUCGCGGCUUAUCAGCUUGUUGGUGGGGUAGUGGCUUACCAAGGCUUUGACGGGUAGCCGGCCUGAGAGGGUGACCGGCCACAUUGGGACUGAGAUACGGCCCAGACUCCUACGGGAGGCAGCAGUGGGGAAUAUUGCACAAUGGGCGGAGGCCUGAUGCAGCAACGCCGCGUGCGGGAUGACGGCCUUCGGGUUGUAAACCGCUUUCGCCUGUGACGAAGCGUGAGUGACGGUAAUGGGUAAAGAAGCACCGGCUAACUACGUG
rnacentral:rRNA from 1 species